UUUUAUCCUGGCUCAGGAUGAACGCUGGCGGCGUGCCUAAUACAUGCAAGUCGAGCGAACAGAUAAGGAGCUUGCUCCUUUGACGUUAGCGGCGUACGGGUGAGUAACACGUGGGUAACCUACCUAUAAGACUGGGAUAACUUCGGGAAACCGGAGCUAAUACCGGAUAACAUUUGGAACCGCAUGGUUCUAAAGUGAAAGAUGGUUUUGCUAUCACUUAUAGAUGGACCCGCGCCGUAUUAGCUAGUUGGUAAGGUAACGGCUUACCAAGGCAACGAUACGUAGCCGACCUGAGAGGGUGAUCGGCCACACUGGAACUGAGACGCGGUCCAGACUCCUACGGGAGGCAGCAGUAGGGAAUCUUCCGCAAUGGGCGAAAGCCUGACGGAGCAACGCCGCGUGAGUGAUGAAGGGUUUCGGCUCGUAAAACUCUGUUAUUAGGGAAGAACAAAUGUGUA
rnacentral:rRNA from 1 species